CAGCCCCGUCCGCCCCGCCUCUCGGUCCGCCGGGUCCGUCGCUCCGGCCGCGCCGGCCGCCGCCAGGAGCCGCGGUCGCCAAGGUUCUGUUUGCUGAGGAACAAGCGGGUGCGUCCGCCGCCGCUGCACGGAUUGCCACCUGCUCCCGGGACCCCCUUGACAUCCCGAGAAACGGAAUCUCCAGAGGCCCAAGGCCACCCAGCAAGUCACUGGACUGGCCUGGACUCAGAGUUGAGCCCAACAAAACCAGCGCUGUGGAUAAUUCCUCUCUUGCGGAGUGCGCAGAGCGGCAUCCUUGUCUGCCAGGCGGUGCGUUCUUCCACACGCAAGCUUAGAGGGCAAAGUCUAAGUUUAGACCUCAGCGUCGGGUUGUGCCGAACCUCUGGGUCGUAGUUAGGAGCCAGGAUCUGAAGACAGAUUGAAUUUGAAACCUCGCUCCGAGAAUUCAACUGUUUGGGAGCAAGCCAUAAUAUCCAUAACUUUUCUUGCAUAGGCAUGUCAAUGGUUCCUAUUCUGGAGAAUGUUUAAGAAGAUUAAGAAUUGCAGACCCACUGAGAGUGUUGGGCACACAGCUGACGCUAUAUAAAUGGUAUUUAUCAUCCAGGUAGAAUUGAAGUGAGAACAGAAGGCAGAGUUAAGCAAUUGAGCUAUCUGCCCUGUCAUCCUGAGAAUUUAGCUGCUCUGCUUCCUCCAUCCUGGGAAAAGAGAGCAUUUUUGUUGUUUUGUUUGAGGAAACUGCACUCUACACCAGAACCUUGGCAAGUCUGCCCUGCUUGGCUGAAGGUAAAUGACAGCUGAUUGGUCACAUAGGGCUAUUGAAGGAAGCAGGACUGUGGGACCAUGUGACCUGGAGAAUCCAAGCCCACCUAAAGACCACUUAGCUAGUUGCCACAUCAGAAUUAACUCCCACAGUCAGAUCUCAUCAUCUCAGGAAACUAGAUUUCACGUGAAAAUCCAAUAAACUAAUUUUAAAAUGGG